rnacentral:rRNA from 1 species
GUCUAUGGCCAUGCUACCUUGAACAAGCCCGAUCCUGUCUGAUCUCGGAAGUUAAGCAGGGUCAGUCCUGGUUAGUACUUGGAUGGGAGACCACCUAGGAAGUCCAGGUGCUGUAGGUA